rnacentral:misc_RNA from 1 species
CACCACUCAAGCACUGCUUGGUAUUGGGCACUCGUCCGUCGAAAGACGGGCGUGCCUCGAAGACCUCGGCGGGGUUUCUCCAACUUCGGGCGUAGUAGAGUUAAAUCAAAACGUCUUAUAAGCUUGGUGAGAUCUCAUGCCGUUAAACCUUUUUUUUUUCA